rnacentral:rRNA from 1 species
GUCUUAUUGAAAAUAAUUUUAAGUCUAAUCUGCUCAAUGAAAAAUUAAAUAGCUGCAGUAUUUAUAACUGUACAAAGGUAGCAUAAUAAUUAGUUUUUUAAUUAAAAACUAGAAUGAAAGAUUUAAUGAAAUAUAAUCUGUCUCAAAUUUAAAAAAUAAAUUUUUUUUUUAAAUUAAAAAAUUUAAAUUUUAUUUAAAGACGAGAAGACCCUAUAGAAUUUAAAUUAUAAUUUUUUUAAAUAAAUCAUUAUAAUUUUAAUUGGGGAAAUUUUAAAAUUUAAAAAAUUUUUAAUUUAAAAAACAAUUAUUUUUGAAUAAAAUAUUUUUUUUUAAAAAAAUAAAUAAAAUUACCUUAGGGAUAACAGCAUAAUUUUUUUAAAAAGUUCAAAUUUAUAAAAAAGUUUAU